GGCGACUUGACCGAGUGGUUAAGGUGUUGUGUUAAGGUCGCAAUCUCGAAAGAGGCGUGAGUUCGAACCUCACAGUCGUCA